rnacentral:antisense_RNA from 2 species
UGUGGGAGCGAGCUUGCUCGCGAUAGCUAUCUGUCAUUCAGAAAUGAUGUUGACUGAUACACCGCCAUCGCGAGCAAGCUCGCUCCCACA